rnacentral:misc_RNA from 1 species
UGUAUUGAUCGAUUGUGAAAUUAACUUCUUUAUUUUUGGGUCUGUUGAACAGACUAAAGCGGCUGCAUAUGAAGAGAGUUUUAAAAAAGGGUUUCUCAUGGGGGGAAUGUAUUUAAAGGUGCAGUCAAUUUUUUUAAAACAACCGUGACUUAUACGAAAAUGGGAAGCGAAAGUUUUUAGUGUCUAGACCCGAAGCUGUGUACGGCAACAUCACGAAAAUCUAUUUUCGUGCCGGUGGAGAGAAAGAGUGUCGGAACGGGGUCGACGCCUCACACAAUAUAGGAACUGCGUGGACACGAGUCGGCGUCAUCACCCUUUCGUCUCGCAACAAAUGUGAAGGUCUUCAUUUCAACUUCCCUCGCCGAACAUUUUCAAAAGAAAAACAAAAGAAAACGAGCGAGACAAAAUAAUUCAAAAAAUGGUUCAACAUUUCCCGUGCGCCAAGUGUCAAUUGCCUUCCACCAACUGUUGUUCAAAGUGCCGCAGAGUGUACUACUGCUCCCGCGAACACCAGAAAGCCGACUGGACAAAUCACAAGACAUUGUGCGGACCUCCUUUUAAGAUCCAAGAAUCAGAAGCUGAAGGCCGUUAUCUGGUGGCUAGUCGUCUCAUUAAAGCUGGCGAAGUGAUCCUGCAGGAGUUACCAUUAGUGGUCGGACCCAAAUUGAAAACAUUGCCGCUAUGUCUUGGCUGUUAUAAGCCCAUCACUGACACUUAUCGAUGCUCGCGUUGUAAUUGGCCAAUGUGUUCGGCCGCUUGCGAAGAAUCUGCCUUGCACAAAAAUGGAGAAUGCCAAAUGAUUGAUCCGACUUUGAUGACCAACCAUCUCAGUCAGGGCGCCAUCAACAGCCAAGUGUAUCAAUGCAUAACUCCUUUACGCUACUUGACUUUGCCGGAUUCGGAUAGGGAGCGUUUAGACGGGCUCGUUUCAAAUCUGGAACAACGUCGGGGUACGGACAUCUACCGACUAGUUGAACAAAACAUUUCCAGUUUCCUGCGCUAUCGACUGUUGCUGACCCAAUACGAUUCCGAAAGUAUCCAGCGAGUUUGCGGAAUUUUGGAGACCAACUGCUUCGAGAUCCGCGUUCAGGGACGCGUUAGUGUCCGAGGAUUGUAUCCUACGGCGUCGCUAAUGAACCACGAUUGCGUAGCAAAUACUCGGCAUGUUUUCGAUCCGGCUGAUUUUCGGAUAAGAAUUUUGGCAACUAAAACUAUUCCGGUUGGACACAAAAUCAGCGCCACCUACACGCAAAGCCUUUGGAACACCCUGGAUCGUCGCUUGCAUUUGAAAUCCACCAAACAUUUUUGGUGCCAAUGCAGCCGCUGUGCGGACCCAAGAGAACUGGGGACAUUAUUGAGCGCUGUCAAGUGUACAGGUUGCGGAGGUGCGGUCUUAAGUCAAAAUUCGCUCGAUCAAAUGUCAAAUUGGGAGUGCAGCGAUUGCAGAUCAGUGCAGAAAGUCGAACAAGUUAAAAGGGUCCAUGAUUCCGCACGGAUGGAAUUGAAACAAAUUGCUCAACUGGCACGGAAUCGUCCGGAAUUACUAGAAGAUUUUAUCCGGAAAUAUUCCGGAGCUAUCCAUCCGGAUAGCUGUCACGUGAUAGAGGCCAAAUACGCCCUCGUUCAGCUUUACGGAAAUACUCCGCAACUUCUUUACCAUGGUUUCUAUAAGAAUGUUUGACUCUAUUCUCAAGGAGUUAUACUUAACCUGGGCAAGCGGCUGCGAGCAACUAAAGAUGUCUGGAUGAAGAUUCGCUUUUGCAUGUUGAUCUUUGCUACUUGAAAUAAUUUGAGUGAAGAACUGAUUGAGAGGAAGCUGAAUUACUGCCGGCAGCUAUUGAAACUUGCGGAUGUCAUUGAACCUGGUUUGAGUCA